rnacentral:rRNA from 1 species
AUUGAACGCUGGCGGCAUGCCUCACACAUGCAAGUCGAGCGGCAGCGCGGGGCAACCUGGCGGCGAGCGGCGAACGGGUGAGUAACAUAUCGGAACGUACCCCGUCGUGGGGGAUAACACAGCGAAAGCUGUGCUAAUACCGCAUACGACCUGAGGGUGAAAGCGGGGGACUCGCAAGGGCCUCGCGCGAUGGGAGCGGCCGAUAUCGGAUUAGCUAGUUGGUGAGGUAAAGGCUCACCAAGGCGACGAACCGUAGCGGGUCUGAGAGGACGACCCGCCACACUGGAACUGAGACACGGUCCAGACUCCUACGGGAGGCAGCAGUGGGGAAUUUUGGACAAUGGGGGAAACCCUGAUCCAGCCAUUCCGCGUGAGUGAAGAAGGCCUUCGGGUUGUAAAGCUCUUUCGGCAGGAACGAAACGGUCCUUUCUAAUACAAGGGGCUAAUGACGGUACCUGAAGAAGAAGCACCGGCUAACUACGUGCCAGCCGCCGCAGUAA